rnacentral:rRNA from 1 species
CGGCGGACGGGUGAGUAACACGUGGAUAACCUACCUAUAAGACUGGGAUAACUUCGGGAAACCGGAGCUAAUACCGGAUAAUAUUUCGAACCGCAUGGUUCAAAAGUGAAAGACGGUCUUGCUGUCACUUAUAGAUGGAUCCGCGCUGCAUUAGCUAGUUGGUAAGGUAACGGCUUACCAAGGCAACGAUGCAUAGCCGACCUGAGAGGGUGAUCGGCCACACUGGAACUGAGACACGGUCCAG